rnacentral:rRNA from 1 species
UACGUAGGUGGCAAGCGCUAUCCGGAAUUAUUGGGCGUAAAGAGCGCGCAGGUGGUUGAUUAAGUCUGAUGUGAAAGCCCACGGCUUAACCGUGGAGGGUCAUUGGAAACUGGUCGACUUGAGUGCAGAAGAGGGAAGUGGAAUUCCAUGUGUAGCGGUGAAAUGCGUAGAGAUAUGGAGGAACACCAGUGGCGAAGGCGACUUUCUGGCCAAAAACUGACGCUGAGAUGCGAAAGCGUGGGGAGCAAACAGGAUUAGAUA